rnacentral:tRNA from 1 species
CGCGGCGUAGCUCAGCGCAGAGCAGCCGACUCAUAACCGGCACAGACCCGGGCUCGACGCCCGGCGCCGCG